rnacentral:rRNA from 1 species
GACGAACGCUGGCGGCGUGCUUAACACAUGCAAGUCGAACGAGAACGGAAUAUAGCUUGCUAUAUUUGUCAGCUAAGUGGCGCACGGGUGAGUAAUGUAUAGAUAACCUGCCCUUAAGAAAGGAAUAACAGUUGGAAACGACUGCUAAUGCCCUAUAUGCCUUUAAUACAUAAGUAUGCAAGGGAAACGCUUUAGUGCUUAAGGAUGGGUCUGUAUGGUAUCAGCUUGUUGGUGAGGUAAUGGCUCACCAAGGCUAUGACGCCUAACUGGUUUGAGAGGAUGAUCAGUCACACUGGAACUGAGACACGGUCCAGACUCCUACGGGAGGCAGCAGUGGGGAAUAUUGCACAAUGGACGAAAGUCUGAUGCAGCAACGCCGCGUGGAGGAUGACACAUUUCGGUGCGUAAACUCCUUUUAUAUAGGAAGAUAAUGACGGUACUAUAUGAAUAAGCACCGGCUAACUCCGUGCCAGCCGCCGCCGUAA